rnacentral:rRNA from 1 species
UGAGUGGCGACGGGUGAGUAACGCGUGGGCAACCUGGCCUGUACAGGGGGAUAACACUUAGAAAUAGGUGCUAAUACCGCAUAACGGGGGAAGCCGCAUGGCUUUUCCCUGAAAACUCCGGUGGUACAGGAUGGGCCCGCGUCUGAUUAGCCAGUUGGCAGGGUAACGGCCUACCAAAGCGACGAUCAGUAGCCGGCCUGAGAGGGCGGACGGCCACACUGGGACUGAGACACGGCCCAGACUCCUACGGGAGGCAGCAG